rnacentral:rRNA from 1 species
AUUGAACGCUGGCGGCAUGCCUUACACAUGCAAGUCGAACGGCAGCAUGGAGAGCUUGCUCUCUGAUGGCGAGUGGCGAACGGGUGAGUAAUGCAUCGGAACGCACCGUGUAAUGGGGGAUAACGUAGCGAAAGUUACGCUAAUACCGCAUACGACCUGAGGGUGAAAGCAGGGGACCGAAAGACCUCGCGCGAUUAGAGCGGCCGAUGCCUGAUUAGCUUGUUGGUGGGGUAAAAGCCCACCAAGGCGACGAUCAGUAGCUGGUCUGAGAGGACGAUCAGCCACACUGGGACUGAGACACGGCCCAGACUCCUACGGGAGGCAGCAGUGGGGAAUUUUGGACAAUGGGGGCAACCCUGAUCCAGCAAUGCCGCGUGAGUGAAGAAGGCCUUCGGGUUGUAAAGCUCUUUUGUCAGGGAAGAAACACCGGCUCUAACACAGUCCGGGAAUGACGGUACCUGAAGAAUAAGCACCGGCUAACUACGUGCCAGCAGCCGCCGUAA